GGAUGGAUCAUUCCUGUUAAACAACAACCAACCUAAGCACUAAAUGAAUUAACAUGACUAAAUCAUUAUUAAUGAGAAUUAAAAACUCUCAGCGAUGGAUGACUCGACUCUCACACCGAGGAAGGACGCAGCAAACCGCGAUAAGCAGUAUGACUUGCGAAAUUUCGUGAUUCACCAGAUCUCUGAACGCAAAGGUACUUCUGGCCUCGGCCUGAAGUAUGUUUGGCUCGGUAUCGUAUAGAUUUCUCCAAUCAAUUUCGAUUGAAUGGAUGACAUACAGUGUCUUUCCGUCACUGGCUAAAUGAUGCUACCUGUAAGAACUCAUACAGUGAAAUGUUGAGGUAACUACAGUAGGCUUCUCAAAUCAUGAUCCGAGCUCAAGCAAGGUUACCCGCUGAAUUUAAGCAUAUAAUUAAGCGGAGGAAAAGAAACCAACUGGGAUUCCCGUAGUAGUGGCGAACGAAGUGGGAAGAGCCCGCGAUGUUAAUCCGUUUCUGACGGAGUUGUGCAUCGAGGUUGCAGCUAUUGAGAAACUGGGAAGAAGAUGCCUGGAAAGGCACGCCAGAGAAGGUGACAGCCCUGUUCUUAUUCCAGCCAUUCUCAAGUACAGCUGUAAUCUAAUGAGUCACGCUCUUUGGGAGUAGAGCGCAAAAUGGGUGGUAACCUCCAUCCACGGCUAGAUAACGGUGAGAGAUCGAUAGCAAACAAGUACCGUGAGGGAAAGUUGAAAAGCACUUCGAAAGGAGAGUUAAAAUACCUGAAAUCGCUGAGGGGGAAGCGGCUGUCCGUGACCCAAUGUUUGAGAGAUUUCUCUCAUUACAUUACUCGACAUCACUUCCGUAUGUUACGACUUGUUAUCGCUUCGGUUAUGACAAAGCUCUUAACAUCGAGAAGUGUGGUACGCCUUUGCAAGUUGUCGAGAGUGGCAUGUACAGACGACCCGUCUUGAAACACGGACCAAGGAGUUAAACGAAAGUGCGAGUGUAAGGGUGUCAAACCCAGACGCGUAGUGAAAGCAAAAGCUGUGAAUUACAAUGCAACAGCAGCCGACUCUUGAAGUUCGAGCCUGAGCAUUUUCGUUUAGACCCGAAAGAUGGUGACCUAUACCUGAGUUGGGUGAAGCCAGGGGAAACCCUGGUGGAAGCUCGUAGCGAUACUGACGUGCAAAUCGUUCGUCAAACUUGGGCAUAGGGGCGAAAGACUAAUCGAACCAUCUAGUAGCUGGUUCCCUC
rnacentral:misc_RNA from 1 species